UACAGAGGUCUCAAGCGUUGUUCGGAUUCAUUGGGCGUAAAGGGUGCGUAGGCGGCGAGGUAAGUCGGAUGUGAAAUCCCGGGGCUCAACCCCGGAACUGCAUUCGAUACUGCCUUGCUCGAGUACUGGAGAGGAGACUGGAAUUUACGGUGUAGCAGUGAAAUGCGUAGAUAUCGUAAGGAAGACCAGUGGCGAAGGCGGCUCACUGGCCCGGUACUGACGCUGAGGUGCGAAAGCGUGGGGAGCAAACAGG
rnacentral:rRNA from 1 species